CCUACGGGAGGCUGCAGUGGGGAAUAUUGCACAAUGGGGGGAACCCUGAUGCAGCGACGCCGCGUGAGUGAAGAAGUAUUUCGGUAUGUAAAGCUCUGUCAGCAGGGAAGAAGAAAGACGGUACCUGACCAAGAAGCCCCGGCUAACUACGUGCCAGCAGCCGCGGUCAUACGUAGGGGGCACGCGUUAUCCGGAUUUACUGGGGGUAAAGGGAGCGUAGACGGGAGGGCAAGGCUGGAGGGAAAGGCAGGGGCCCAAACCCUGGACUGCUCUGGAAACUGGCCGGCUUGAGUGGAGGAGAGGUAAGUGGAAUGCGUGGUGUAGCGGUGAAAGGCGUAGAUAUUAGGAGGAACACCAGUGGCGAAGGCGGCUUACUGGACUGUAACUGACGUUGAGGCUCGAAAGCGUGGGGAGCAAACAGGAUUAGAUACCCCAGUAGUC
rnacentral:rRNA from 1 species